UCUCCAUCUGCAUUAUUCAUUUUUGUCUCAUCAGUUUCUUGAGAAAAGUUCAGUUUUUUUUUCUUUCCCGGGAAAAUGUGAAUGACACUAACCUCUUCUUCUGAUUUGGGUUCUUCUUCACUUCUUCUCGAAUCGAUUACAUCUUCUUCUGUUUGCUUUGCUUCUGGUCUUUGAGAUCUUUCUUUAGCCCAAGCUAUUGCUUCAUCCAUGUCGUUUGAAUCUGAAUUUCCUCCUCCUCCUCCUCCUUCUUCUCUGUAUCGGUCGAAUCGAUCUGAGUUUAUCUCGAUGACAUGAAGGAAGAAACAGGGGAAGAUGCAGGGGAGCUUGGUCCGUAGUCAUCCAUUCUUCUGAAGGAAUUCGGAUCCAAGCUUAUGGUUUCUGGCGAGGCUCUUCUUGAUCCGCCGAAAUGUGUUUUUUUGUAGUAGAAAUCAGCUUUUUCCGGUGUGUUAUUUUGGCCGGAAAAUGAAUCUUUUGCUUUUGGAACCGCCGAGAAACUCUGUUUCUUUGACUCUCGUUUAUGACUUCUCGACGGGACGUUUAACGGUCUGAAGAGGGAAAAAAAACAGAGCAUGUCAAAAUUACUGAAUUGUCCUCGAGAGUAGAACCGAAUUGGAGGGUAAAAUGGUAAAUCUCACUCACCUAAGUCUAGAAGUGAAAGAAGAGAAUCCGGAGUCGUCGCCGGAAGCUGCCGCUGGUGGAGGAUAGUGAGGACUGGCCUCCUCGGAAGAGAGCAUCGACGAUGAAUUCGAUCUUGGUUUCGUCAUCGAGCUCUGUUUUUUCGAUCCUUCCUUCGCAGAACCGCCGCGACCACCAAACACGCCGUCGUAAAAUCCUUCCCCGCCGGACGGAAUUCUGAAUGCCGGUAAGUUUCUUCCGUGAGAUUUAGAAGACGCAAGAGAGCCGCCGGAGGAGAAAGUUCCCGGAGGCUGAAAAAUCUCGUCGUAGAAACAGUCGGAACGAGAGAAGUCGCCGGAAAAUUUUCGGGUGAGAACGCUUCGCGGCGGACCGCCGAAAACAUCAGCGAAGUCUUCCGCGUCGAUACGAGCAUCCAUUGAUUUACGAGCAAUGGAGAAGAAUGGAUCAACGCUUAAACCCAUCUUCAUACGCCAAGAUUCGUCCAUUUCGCCGGUGAAUCUUUCCUUUUUUUGGCUCCGAUCACCGGAAAGUCUAAAGAAAAAAAAAGCGACGAAGUAAAGAGAGUGUGAUAUGUGUUUUGUAUGAAAUGUACACUAACGUACAUAUUUUUAUAGUAGCAUUGAAAAAAAAGUUUUUUUUUCUUUAAACUAAUUCUUCAUGUGUGGAUUUUAUUCGCUU